AGUCGUGGGGCAGCAUGUCCCGCAGCAAUGCGGGAUGAUGGCGACCGGCAAACGGGUGCGGAACACGUACACAACCUUCCUUUUAGUGGAGAAUAGCCCAGGGAAACUUGGAUUAAUACUCCGUAACAUAUAGAAGUGGCAUCACUUUUAUAUUAUAGCAGCAAUGCGCUAGAAGAUGGGUGUGCGGCUGAUUAGAUAGUUGGCGGGGUAACGGCCCACCAAGUCGACGAUCAGUAACUGGUGUGAGAGCACGACCAGUCACACGGGCACUGAGACACGGGCCCGACUCCUACGGGAGGCAGCAGUAAGGAAUAUUGGUCAAUGGACGCAAGUCUGAACCAGCCAUGCCGCGUGGAGGAUGAAGGUCCUCUGGAUUGUAAACUUCUUUUAUUUGGGAAGAAACCCAUCUUUUCUAAGAUGGUUGACGGUACCAGAUGAAUAAGCACCGGCUAACUCCGUGCCAGCAGCCGCGGUAAUACGGAGGGUGCAAGCGUUAUCCGGAUUCACUGGGUUUAAAGGGUGCGUAGGUGGGCAAGUAAGUCAGUGGUGAAAUCUCCGGGCUUAACCCGGAAACUGCCAUUGAUACUAUUUGUCUUGAAUACUGUGGAGGUCAGCGGAAUAUGUCAUGUAGCGGUGAAAUGCUUAGAUAUGACAUAGAACACCAAUUGCGAAGGCAGCUGGCUACACAAAUAUUGACACUGAGGCACGAAAGCGUGGGGAUCAAACAGGAUUAGAUACCCUGGUAGUCCACGCCCUAGACUAUGGAUACUCGACAUUUGCGAUAAACUGCAAGUGUCUGAGCGAAAGCAUUAAGUA
rnacentral:rRNA from 1 species